rnacentral:rRNA from 1 species
UACAGAGGGUGCGAGCGUUAAUCGGAAUUACUGGGCGUAAAGCGUGCGUAGACGGUUACGUAAGUCGGAUGUGAAAGCCCCGGGCUCAACCUGGGAAUUGCAUUCGAGACUGCGUAGCUAGGGUGCGGAAGAGGGAAGCGGAAUUUCCGGUGUAGCGGUGAAAUGCGUAGAUAUCGGAAGGAACACCAGUGGCGAAAGCGGCUUCCUGGUCCAGCACCGACGUUCAGGCACGAAAGCGUGGGGAGCAAACAGG